AGAUUUUUUAUGAGUCAUUUGAUGAAUAUUUUAAUGGACGAUGGAUAGCCUCUGAGAAGGAUAGCCUUUGGACAUGAGGAAUCGACUAAGUUCGAUAUGGUCUUGGUUGAGAAUGAUUCCUACCCAAGAAAUCAACCCAUAUCGAUACGGAUGUACGGUGAGUUUUCUUGAUUUUGUUAAUUCACAUUCCUUUUAUAAUGAGUUUUUUAUAUUGAAAAUGGUUAAUUUUUGUGCACAUAAUUUGUUAAGGUACUUCACACUGCUUUUUGUUAAUUUGGAGUUAUCUGGCAUGGUGCAUAUAAACUGUUUGGUGAAAUGCUCUAAUAAAAAGAUACACUAUUGAGAUGCAUGUCGUUGUUUGACUGAUGUGGUGAUUGACGCUCCAAAUUUACGAAUUUUUCAAUAUUUUGGAAUGCUUCUCUCAUAAUUUGCACAAACUUCACCUGUAUGUAUAGAUGAACUAGACAUAUAUGGAGGCUAUUAUUUCUCCUUUUUUAAGUGGAGCAAAUUUCUAUCUAAUUUUAGUUUGGUUCAAGAGGUUGAUAUUGAGAAUGACAGUGCAUUUUGACGUAUGUGUAUCAACAAACUUUUUUUAUUUAUUAUCAUUGUUUCUUUUUUGUUUUUGUCAUUGAAAUUGAUGUUUCUUUUUUUUUUCAAACAUUAACAAAUGUAGAGUAUAGAUGAUUGUUUUGAGGGAGAAGGGAUAUUAGGAGAAAUAUCAGUGCCUAGAGAAUAGGUAUUUAAAUGUAACAUUUUAAUUGGGAGUAUAUAAUAUUUGCUUCUGACCCAAUUUUUAUACUUCUAGCCAUAAUUUAAUUCUGUUAGAGACAACUUUAGUAUAGUUUAUGUUAGUUUAACAGCAUAUUAACUUUAGUAUAACUACUACUAUUAGUUGAACAAUAGAUUAAAUUUACAUGCCUGUCCAAGUGUUCAUUGAUAUAUUGUCAGGUGUUCAUUGAUAUUUUGUGAAGUGUUAGACUAUUAGUGAAUUCAUGCUAUUUCGUUUCCGAAGACCAGGUUUAAAGUUUCAUUAUACUACUAAUUGAUUCAUCCUCUUCUCCUUUUUUUUGUACUUUUUCUGUUGAUGAUUUCUAAGUAAACCCUAAUUAACGCUAUAUUUUGUUUUGUCUGGCUUUGAAUGCUAAGGGCAGUUCGAACAAGCUAAUAAGAGAACUCGAGGUGCUAAAGUUGAGGAUGGUACUUCCCGGAGAAAUAGACCCCUUUUCCAAGUUUCCCUCCCUUUAUAUAUAUAUUUUUUAAAAUUAAAAAAAAAAUCUAUACUUCUUUUUUAUUUGCAUUUCAGCUUUUUUGCCUAGCAUUUGGAAGAAACCAUAAUUCCUCACUUUUGCAGUUGGUACUGGAGAAAAAUUGACUUUUAAAUUCAACUAGGACAACCCCAAUUCCAGUUUGAUGGCUAUAAUGCAAUGCAACCAAAUAAAAUGAGUGGAUUUAAUAGCCUUACAAUGGGAAAAAUUUUAUUUUCUUCAAACUACAAAAUAAUGUUAUGUGUUUGAAAAUCAUAACAAUAUUAGUUGUAUUUGUAUAGCAUGUGUUAUUUGUCUCUUCUUUGAGGAUUAUGAUUGUUCGGCUUCUUUACAUUUGUCAAGUUCCUUUCUUUAAAUUAGUGCAUCUAAUAGAAUAGAGCUUUAGAAUACCUACCAAUUUGAACACCAGUUAUAGCAUAAUGUCUUGAUAAGCUUUUUCCCCUAUCCAAGCAUUGGAAAACUAUUUAUCUCUGAAUCAAAAUCUCCAUAGUAAGUAAUUUCUCUGUAUAUAUAAUACUAUGUAUAAUUUAGACUAAUAUAGUAGAUGACUUUUUGAGUGGGAUCUUCAUAAUUUUUUUUCAAGCUGCUUAUUGUAAAAUUCAGAUGAACAGGUACUACUUGUAUUAUGCUUUUGACCUUGAAAAUUCAAAUGAUAAUCCUUUUAUAUGACCUGUAGAUGUAAAAUACCAACAAUUGUUUGAUUAAUGUGUUAGCAUACUAAAGUAGAUAUGUUAUUAUGUCUUUUUAUUUUAUUUCAAUGUUCCUUCUGAUGAUGAUGAUAUGAAAUAGUUAGAAGAUUUUAUUGCAUAAAUAGUACGUGUUGCUUUACAAGAAAUUAGUCACGAUGGUUUUUUGUUUCUAUAAAAGAUUUUAAAGGAAGCAAUGUGAAUAGUUUUUGAACUGCUACUCUCUUUAUAUCUGUUUAAUUUAAAAGGUUCACUUUGAUAGUUAAGAUACAAAAUCUUUGAUCUUUGUUGUUGAUAAUAUUGAAGUCAGAAUUUUCCUCCAAAAAUUUGCUCUUCAUUGCAUUUUUUAUCUGAACAGAGAGAAGAGAGAGUUGAUUAAUGUGGUGAAUUUUAUACUUUAAUGUGGAAAACAUGAAAUGAUGAUGAUUAAAAAAGAGAAACUCAUAGUUAAAGAUUUGAUGCUGAAAACACUGAUAAAUAAAGACUUGCAUUAAUGUUGUCCACUUUGCUCCACAUUUUGCUUCUCCAAGGGAGAACAUGAUUUCAUAUAGAUUUGCAUAACCAUGGAAGUCUAUCUGUUUUUUUUUCUUCAAAUUUUAUGAAGGAGUUUUCCAAUUUCAAUAGAUGAUGUAAAUGCUUAAGCAUAUGUCUUUUAAUUUAUGUAUACAUGUAUCAAAUUCUCAAUUUUUUUACUUUAUUUUCUAGAAUUUUAUUUGGUGUCCUUUGAUAAUAUUGCAGGAAUGUGAUGGUACUAAACGAAGUUUUCCCAAAAUUAAUAUUCAACUAUGAGAUUCAGUGUCAAUCCUCUUUUUCCUCAGAAGAGUAUGUACCUCUUUAUGUAUUCCAAUUUAUGUAUUUG
rnacentral:lncRNA from 1 species